rnacentral:rRNA from 1 species
UACGUAGGGUGCAAGCGUUAAUCGGAAUUACUGGGCGUAAAGCGCGCGCAGGCGGUCUUCCAAGUCAGUGGUGAAAGCCCGGAGCUCAACUUCGGAACUGCCAUUGAAACUGUUAGACUUGAGGACGAGAGAGGUGAGUGGAAUUCCCAGUGUAGAGGUGAAAUUCGUAGAUAUUGGGAAGAACACCGGUGGCGAAGGCGGCUCACUGGCUCGUAUCUGACGCUCAGGCGCGACAGCGUGGGGAUCAAACAGG